rnacentral:rRNA from 1 species
AGAGUUGAUUAUGGCUCAGGAUGAACGCUAGCUACAGGCUUAACACAUGCAAGUCGAGGGGCAGCGGGAAGAAGCUUGCUUCUUGCCGGCGACCGGCGCACGGGUGAGUAACGCGUAUCCAACCUGGCCCUUAGUAGGGGAUAGCCCGGCGAAAGUCGGAUUAAUACCCUAUGUUCUUCGUAGAAGACAUCUGAAAUGAAGCAAAGAUUUAUCGCUAAGGGAUGGGGAUGCGUCUGAUUAGGUAGUCGGCGGGGUAACGGCCCACCGAGCCAUCGAUCAGUAGGGGUUCUGAGAGGAAGGUCCCCCACAUUGGUACUGAGACACGGACCAAACUCCUACGGGAGGCAGCAGUGAGGAAUAUUGGUCAAUGGGCGCGAGCCUGAAACCCAGCCAAGUAGCGUGAGGGAAGACUGCCCUAUGGGUUGUAAACCUCUUUUGCCGGGGAAUAAAGUGACGUACGUGUACGUUUUUGUAUGUACCCGGAGAAUAAGGACCGGCUAAUUCCGUGCCAGCCGCGGC